rnacentral:tRNA from 1 species
UUGCUAUUGGGNCCAUACCCCAAAAAUGCCACUACGGCCUCUACUA